GCGUCGAAGCAUGAUCGCAAGGACAUGUGGAGCGCUUAGAAGUGAGAAUGCCGGUGUGAGUAGCGAAAGACGGGUGAGAAUCCCGUCCACCGAUUGACUAAGGUUUCCAGAGGAAGGCUCGUCCGCUCUGGGUUAGUCGGGUCCUAAGCUGAGGCCGACAGGCGUAGGCGAUGGAUAACAGGUUGAUAUUCCUGUACCACCUAGUAUCGUUUUAAUCGAUGGGGGGACGCAGUAGGAUAGGCGAAGCGUGCUGUUGGAGUGCACGUCCAAGCAGUAAGGCUGAGUGUUAGGCAAAUCCGGCACUCAUAAGGCUGAGCUGUGAUGGGGAGAGGAAAUUGUUUCCUCGAGUCGUUGAUUUCACACUGCCGAGAAAAGCCUCUAGAUAGAUAACAGGUGCCCGUACCGCAAACCGACACAGGUAGUCAAGAUGAGAAUUCUAAGGUGAGCGAGCGAACUCUCGUUAAGGAACUCGGCAAAAUGACCCCGUAACUUCGGGAGAAGGGGUGCUCUUUAGGGUUCACGCCCAGAAGAGCCGCAGUGAAUAGGCCCAAGCGACUGUUUAUCAAAAACACAGGUCUCUGCUAAACCGUAAGGUGAUGUAUAGGGGCUGACGCCUGCCCGGUGCUGGAAGGUUAAGAGGAGUGGUUAGCUUCUGCGAAGCUACGAAUCGAAGCCCCAGUAAACGGCGGCCGUAACUAUAACGGUCCUAAGGUAGCGAAAUUCCUUGUCGGGUAAGUUCCGACCCGCACGAAAGGCGUAACGAUUUGGGCACUGUCUCAACGAGAGACUCGGUGAAAUCAUAGUACCUGUGAAGAUGCAGGUUACCCGCGACAGGACGGAAAGACCCCGUGGAGCUUUACUGUAGCCUGAUAUUGAAAUUCGGCACAGCUUGUACAGGAUAGGUAGGAGCCUUUGAAACGUGAGCGCUAGCUUACGUGGAGGCGUUGGUGGGAUACUACCCUAGCUGUGUUGGCUUUCUAACCCGCACCACUUAUCGUGGUGGGAGACAGUGUCAGGCGGGCAGUUUGACUGGGGCGGUCGCCUCCUAAAAGGUAACGGAGGCGCUCAAAGGUUCCCUCAGAAUGGUUGGAAAUCAUUCAUAGAGUGUAAAGGCAUAAGGGAGCUUGACUGCGAGACCUACAAGUCGAGCAGGGUCGAAAGACGGACUUAGUGAUCCGGUGGUUCCGCAUGGAAGGGCCAUCGCUCAACGGAUAAAAGCUACCCCGGGGAUAACAGGCUUAUCUCCCCCAAGAGUUCACAUCGACGGGGAGGUUUGGCACCUCGAUGUCGGCUCAUCGCAUCCUGGGGCUGUAGUCGGUCCCAAGGGUUGGGCUGUUCGCCCAUUAAAGCGGUACGCGAGCUGGGUUCAGAACGUCGUGAGACAGUUCGGUCCCUAUCCGUCGUGGGCGUAGGAAAUUUGAGAGGAGCUGUCCUUAGUACGAGAGGACCGGGAUGGACAUACCUCUGGUGUACCAGUUGUCGUGCCAACGGCAUAGCUGGGUAGCUAUGUAUGGACGGGAUAAGUGCUGAAAGCAUCUAAGCAUGAAGCCCCCCUCAAGAUGAGAUUUCCCAACUUCGGUUAUAAGAUCCCUCGAAGAUGACGAGGUUAAUAGGUUCGAGGUGGAAGCGUGGUGACACGUGGAGCUGACGAAUACUAAUCGAUCGAAGACUUAAUCAA
rnacentral:rRNA from 1 species